CCGGAUGGUGAACCUAUUCCAAAGACAGUAACUGCGAAAGCUUAAUUUGUUACCGAGGGAUUGACGCUGGUUGUUUUUUUACUGUGCUCGUCAAGCCCGCUUUGCGGGCUUUUUCUUUGAAUAU
rfam:Erysipelotrichaceae bacterium NYT-BL-F16 NODE_3_length_53760_cov_127.062_ID_5, whole genome shotgun sequence.